rnacentral:rRNA from 1 species
GGACGAACGCUGGCGGCGUGCUUAACACAUGCAAGCCGAACGGAAAGGCCCUGCUUUUGUGGGGUGCUCGAGUGGCGAACGGGUGAGUAACACGUGAGUAACCUGCCCUUGACUUUGGGAUAACUUCAGGAAACUGGGGCUAAUACCGGAUAGGAGCUCCUGCUGCAUGGUGGGGGUUGGAAAGUUUCGGCGGUUGGGGAUGGACUCGCGGCUUAUCAGCUUGUUGGUGGGGUAGUGGCUUACCAAGGCUUUGACGGGUAGCCGGCCUGAGAGGGUGACCGGCCACAUUGGGACUGAGAUGCGGCCCAGACUCCUACGGGAGGCAGCAGUGGGGAAUAUUGCACAAUGGGCGGAAGCCUGAUGCAGCAACGCCGCGUGCGGGAUGACGGCCUUCGGGUUGUAAACCGCUUUCGCCUGUGACGAAGCGUGAGUGACGGUAAUGGGUAAAGAAGCACCGGCUAACUACGUG